UUUUGUGUUGAGUCCAAGAGGUUGGGCACAGGAGCAGCUUGCGAUCGCGCCUUUGGGGUGUAGCCGGGACCAGCAAAAACUUACCUUUUGGAUAACGUACUUUUGGAUGCAGUUUGCGCCCAGUCCAUCAAAUGGCAGACGUCUAGAGAUUUCCCCUAUCUCUUCGAUGUCAGCCAGCGGCGUACUCAAAAUAAUGCCAGGAAAAUCCUUUCGAUUUUGGUCCAGUCUGUGCCACUUCCAGCAAAUCCAUCGCCCAAUCUAAUACACACAAAAAAAAACAAUUCUAGGAUGAUCAUUAGGCCAGAAUCUAAACGGAGCUAGCUAGCACACUGGCGCCCGCACACCUUUUUGGCCCUCAUCAC